CGGGGUGUAGUUCAUCGGUAGAACGCUCGGUUUGGGACCGAGAAGCAACAGGUCCAAUUCCUGUCACCCCGACAA
rnacentral:tRNA from 3 species